AUUACAAUGUUACUAUGGCUGGAGUCUGUUAGGUCAGAAAAACAUCAACCCAGAAAAAUUGUAACUGCAAAUAGAAAGUUUCAUUACUAAAACAAAAAUAAAAAACUAAAUAAUUGGUCUUGCCAAAAGAAUUUGAGAGAAACAGAGAAUACAGUUGACCCUUUGUACCACUAACAAAGUCUGAUCAGCACUUGGAAAUGAGUAGAGCUCACUAUCAAGUUUCAGGUGUGAAUAUGCAGUGACCAUCUUUCUUCAAACAUAUUAUACUAAAUUCCACUAGUUGAAAAAUGGAAAUAUACCAGAGAGAUUCACAGGUUAUUUUUAUUCUAUGUUAGUGCUCUCCAAUAAACAACAGUGUCAGGUCAAUGAGAUAAUGCUCAGCCUCUAAGAAAUUAAGUAUUAGUGAGUUUUGCCAUGCUCUAUUUUGGCUUCAAUUAUCCUUCUAACUACAAAUUGCAUUCGUGUCUGUGGUUCACAACUACAGAUUGCCAAGUUCAAUUUCUUUCAAGUUGUUAAUAAUGUCUUCAACCCUUAUAGACAUAAAAUCAGCAUGUUCUUCAAUAUCUUUAAGAAUCAUGUGUAGCUGUUGUUGAAUUGCUGCAGAUCGUUCUCUUUCACGCUGCAGCUCAUCAUAUAAAUCCUGGAUUUUCUUAUCCUUCUCCUCCUGCAAUCAUGUUGGAGAAUGGAGGGUUGAAGAAUGAUGGUAAAGCCAAAUACAGAAGUAUGGUCAGAAACAUGAAGGGAAAAAAUAUGAUCAGGAGAACUGGAUGAAUGAAUUAUAGCAUAUUACUAUUUUUCCCAGAAUCAUCACCAGCAAAGAAUUUUAAGAACCUAUGUGCAAGUGCAAACUAUUGGUCUUACACAUGUAUUGAUAGACAAUGGAUUUUCUAGCCAUGCCUUUUGCAUAUUUUUUUAAUCACGCAUUCCUAGCACUUCAGUAGUUAUGCAAGCUUGACAGCACUAAUAUAUCAAUGGAUGAGAGCGAAUGAAAACAUGGCAAAAUAUAGGUGGAAACGGUUUAAAACUCCUAGCAUAUGAAUUACAAUAACCAUAAGAAAAGCACAGGACUGAAGUUUAUAAUAUAUACUCCUUGAAUAGCUUGAUGACAAAUAGCCACUGAACUCCAUAUACAUUGCUGUGAACAAUGUUUCUGUGUAAUAUCCACACAUGCACAUUAAAGAAAUGACUCAGUUUCAUAAGGUUGAAUCAGUUUAUGAAUUUUAGCAGCAGAAGACAUGGGUUUUGGAUGAGAUGAGGUGUCCCAGCAAGGGGAAAAAAUGAGUGAAGUUCAAGAACAUAGAUUUGGAAUUUCAGGAAAUCCAAAUACGGGUUAAGCCCCAAGAAUUAGUAGAGCUGUUAAUGUGAAGUUCAAAAUCUGAGAACUAAAAAUCCAUACUGUAAUUCAAGAUGCAGGAUUGAAGCCUAAUUAUAAAUACGAAAACAGUUAUGCUAAUGCUAUCUCAAACAUACCUCACUGAGUAUAUUUAUGGUUGGCAAUUCUCCAGGAAAAUUACAGUGAGUCAUUAAUUUGUGGUUGUGCUCUCGCAAAAAUUUGGUAACUACCCAUAUGCCACCAUCUCUUGCAGCCAACCUUAUCAUGGCUUUGCAUCCUUCUCUAGUAAUAGGCCUAGGGGGAAGAAUUCUAUCUUUUCUCAGUGCAUGCUUUGCAGCACGAAAACCUUCUCUAGAACAGACAAAGUCACGUCCUAUGACUGCCAUGUUCUUUAGCGAAUGUCUGAUCCGAUUUGUUCGAAUAGUGAAACCUGUCCGCUUGGCAUAAUCAUAAUAGAAAUCUCUUGCAUCAUCUAAUGAUGCAAAUGUCAUCCCAUUAUAUGGUUCUAAAUUGUUAGCACUUAAAUUUUUUAUUGAUGGUUCUGUAUAAGUUUCUGCACCAUUUUGCAAAUUGCAGUUUGGCAACAGUCCAUCUUCUGUGUAUUCAUGUUCCUCACAAGUUUCAAGAGUUUCAUCAUCUGAGCCCCCAUCACUAUCUAGAAAUUCGUGUCCAUCAGUGGUGCUGGUCAUUCCGUCCCCAGAAAGGGAAAUUCUAUCCAAUAAACCUAACAGAAUGGAUACAAUUGCACUCCUAGCCGUAAGCAAUGGUUACUGAUGCUAAGCACACCAACACCUUCAUCGCUGUAGGUAAGAGAACGCAUCAAGUAUUUGAGUUUGGUUAUUGAGGUGAGUGUUAACAGCAGCUUUUUGAGAUCCUUUUCGCCACUUGGCAGUUUCAAGUGAUUCAGUGUGGUUCGGGUGUGUGCUCAAGAGUAGAGGGAGUAUGGAAAGAUUGUUUCUUGAAAUGGAGAUGGAGUGAGGAAUUCAGAUAGGGGAUCUGGAGGCAGAUAUUUGAUCUAGCGGUCAAUAUUUAGCAAGGAUCAAGGACAGGCAAGUAUUAAAAGUUCAUUAUUCUAUCAAACACCAAAUUAUUAUUAUUAUUAUAUUUUGUGGUUACUUGUAUAAGCUUUAUUAUAAAAGAUAAAAUAAUUUAAUA
rnacentral:misc_RNA from 1 species